rnacentral:lncRNA from 1 species
GACCUUAUUGAAGCUAUGGAGACAUAAUUUUAUGUUCUUAAUAUUUUUAAAUGGCGUAACACCAACAGCCACCACAAAAGACAAAGUGUGCAGUGUAAGAUUUCAUGCAUAAGGUAAAAGGAAAGACCAUGUACCUUCUCCUGCCAAUGAAUCAUCUCUGUGGUGACCUAACCUGGCAAUGCCAUCCUCAGACACUCUGACCUUCCAUGUGGAAACAGAUUGUGAAGGUCAAAAUUUGGAUGAGGAAAAGAAAUUAAAUACUACUUCAGGUGUGAAAGCAUGCGCAGUACAAGUUCAAGCAAGGGAAGACAAUACUGGGAGGAAAAUUAUGCUCUGCAAGCUCAUCACGCUCCCUAUCAAAUACAAGCAAAUGGACCAGCCAUCUAAAAAGACAUUGUAACCAAACA